UACGAAGGGGGCGAGCGUUGUUCGGAAUUACUGGGCGUAAAGGGCGCGCAGGCGGCCUUAGAAGUCAGAUGUGAAAGCCCCGGGCUCAACCUGGGAAUGGCAUUUGAUACUCUGAGGCUGGAGUACGGGAGAGGAGAGUGGAAUUCCCAGUGUAGAGGUGAAAUUCGUAGAUAUUGGGAAGAACACCGGUGGCGAAAGCGGCUUCCUGGUCCAGCACCGACGUUCAGGCACGAAAGCGUGGGGAGCAAACAGG
rnacentral:rRNA from 1 species